rnacentral:rRNA from 1 species
UACAGAGGGUGCGAGCGUUAAUCGGAAUUACUGGGCGUAAAGCGCACGUAGGCGGCUUUGCAAGUCGGGUGUGAAAUCCCCAGGCUUAACCUGGGAACUGCAUUCGAGACUGCAUUGCUAGAGUAUGGGAGAGGGAAGUGGAAUUUCCGGUGUAGCGGUGAAAUGCGUAGAUAUCGGAAGGAACAUCAGUGGCGAAAGCGACUUCCUGGACCAAUACUGACGCUCAUGUGCGAAAGCGUGGGGAGCAAACAGG